rnacentral:piRNA from 1 species
GUCGAGAUAAGGCUUAGAGUUAAAUU